AACUAAUGAUGAUUAAAUAUAAGAGUAGUGGACAAAAGUGAUUUCUGAAAUCUGCAUUACUGAAGUU
rnacentral:snoRNA from 1 species